GGAGAUCCAACUUAGUCUGCCCAGUGCAGUAAUUCUAAUGUGAAGCGCAUGCGCACGGCGUACCAAAACAUCAAAGGGGCAGCGGCGGCUGCUGGAUACCGAGAUUUCCUUGUGUUUAAAGAAAAAUAAAAUAAAGGGGGAAAAGAAAAAUCAUAUGCAUGUAUAAUAGACACAUAUUAAGAUAAUAUAAAAAUGUCACCCCAGAGAAGCUCCCAGAGUAAAAUCUUUGUUGCUGUUCUUAGGACAAAAACAACUACAGCGACUGGAAUGCUGGUCACACUCUCCUGAUGUCUUCUCAAUGCUCUUAUGCAUUUGGAUACCACCACUCACCAAUGUAGUCUAAAAGCCUUCUGAAGGCCUACUGUUGGCUUUACUCUCAGGCAAUACUUUGACAAUGGGACCAUCAGCUUCUCCAUGCCAGAAUCCUGAGAGGAAUAACAACUUGUCAAUGAUAAAACUACAAGAUAAGAUACCAUGUGAUGACUUGGAUCCUGGUUCUAGUUUCAGCCUGUCACAUGUUCUGAUGAUGGAGUUUGUGCCCACUCUGGUCUUGAUGGUGGAGUAACCUCUUUCCAAACUUUGUAGAUUGUCAUGGCAAGAGAGGUCAAUGGCAUUCUGUUCCCCAAAAAUGAAAAUAAAAUGAGUGGGAUAGUUGACAGGGAAAAUCAUUGUGGUAUAGGGACAUGAACAUAACUGAAAGGUUCACCAUAUUUGUUUUAUAUAAAUGACCUUAUAACUGACCAAUAUGGACCAACGAAUGAAUGGAUGGAUUUUUCAAUGUAGGUCUUCAGAAUACCACUAUCUGCAAUUGGUGAGACAGUGUCUCCCUCUAGCCCAGGCUUACCAAAGACUCACUCUGUAGCCCAGGCUGUCCUUGAACUCAUGGCUGUCCUCCUAUUUCAGCCUCACAAAUACUGAGAUAUUGGCAUAAGCUACCAUGCUCAGAUUUGCUAUUUGCAUUUCACCCAUUCAAAUACAUAGUCACGUGUGAAGUAAUCAUUCUGAAAAUUGAUUGAAAAUAAUCAUAUCACAGCUGAAUAAUCACAAGUAAAUGCAUGAAGGGAUUUGGUAGCGAUAAAUUAAUCACAAGAUACAAAUCAGUAGAGAUGCAAAGCCCCAACAACUGAUGAAUUGAAAAAAAGAACUAUUAGAGAAAAAAAAAAAAAAACAACAAAACUGUCCUGUUGAU